rnacentral:rRNA from 1 species
GACGAACGCUGGCGGCGUGCCUAAUACAUGCAAGUAGAACGCUGAAGGAGGAGCUUGCUUCUCUGGAUGAGUUGCGAACGGGUGAGUAACGCGUAGGUAACCUGCCUGGUAGCGGGGGAUAACUAUUGGAAACGAUAGCUAAUACCGCAUAAGAGUAGAUGUUGCAUGACAUUUGCUUAAAAGGUGCAAUUGCAUCACUACCAGAUGGACCUGCGUUGUAUUAGCUAGUUGGUGGGGUAACGGCUCACCAAGGCGACGGUACAGCGCCGACCUGGGAGGGGGGGCGGCCACACUGGGGAGGGGACACGGCCCAGACGCCUACGGGAGGCAGCAGUAGGGAAUCCUCGGCGAAGGACGGAAGUCUGACCGAGCAACGCCGCGUGAGUGAAGAAGGUUGUCGGAUCGUAAAGCUCUGUUGUAAGAGAAGAACGAGUGUGAGAGUGGAAAGUUCACACUGUGACGGUAACUUACCAGAAAGGGACGGCUAACUACGUG